rnacentral:rRNA from 1 species
UACGGAGGAUGCGAGCGUUAUCCGGAUUUAUUGGGUUUAAAGGGUGCGUAGGCGGAGUGCCAAGUCAGCGGUAAAAAUUCGGGGCUCAACCCCGUCGUGCCGUUGAAACUGGCGCCCUUGAGUGGGCGAGAAGUAUGCGGAAUGCGUGGUGUAGCGGUGAAAUGCAUAGAUAUCACGCAGAACCCCGAUUGCGAAGGCAGCAUACCGGCGCCCGACUGACGCUGAAGCACGAAAGCGUGGGUAUCGAACGGG